UCUUCAUUUCACGUGCUUUCGCAUCGGUCAGAUGGGUGAGAGAGUGUGUGAAAUGAAGAGA
rnacentral:pre_miRNA from 1 species